GGGGAAUUUUGGACAAUGGGGGCAACCCUGAUCCAGCAAUGCCGCGUGUGUGAAGAAGGCCUUCGGGUUGUAAAGCACUUUUGUCCGGAAAGAAAACGCCGUGGUUAAUACCCGUGGCGGAUGACGGUACCGGAAGAAUAAGCACCGGCUAACUACGUGCCAGCAGCCGCGGUCAUACGUAGGGUGCAAGCGUUAAUCGGAAUUACUGGGCGUAAAGCGUGCGCAGGCGGUCCGCUAAGACAGAUGUGAAAUCCCCGGGCUUAACCUGGGAACUGCAUUUGUGACUGGCGGGCUAGAGUAUGGCAGAGGGAGGUGGAAUUCCGCGUGUAGCAGUGAAAUGCGUAGAGAUGCGGAGGAACACCGAUGGCGAAGGCAGCCUCCUGGGAUGACACUGACGCUCAUGCACGAAAGCGUGGGGAGCAAACA
rnacentral:rRNA from 1 species